rnacentral:misc_RNA from 1 species
GUAUGGGUGCUUAUCCAGGUUGAUUUUUCAAUGAUCCCGAAAAAGGAGUUCUCUUAUGAAGCCUCUCAGGUCCUGGACUUGAAUCUUCCUCCAGCCGGCUAUGAUAUAGCUGGUUCUGAAUAUAUUAAUGUGAAUGCAGACAUGACAAUAGAGGAUAUCAUUGCUGACCCUAAAAUUUCAAACCCUGCCACUGGAUCAGUUGAGCCGGUGGUUGAUGGAAACCGUAACAAUGAGGAGUUCAAGUCGUGCAUUUCUCCUUCUGCAGCUGGUUCGUCAAUUUCAUACCCCAUUGAUUUAUCCGAGGCAGCACCAGAAGUUACUUCUGUUGCACCACCAUCUGUUGUAGAGGUGCAAGCAUCUCCACAGGAAGAUGUCGAGAUGUCCCUCCUCAAGGAACUGGAUGACAUGGGUUUCACUCAGGUUAACUUAAACAAAGAAGUCUUGAGGAUGAACGAGUAUAACCUGGAACAAUCAGUAGCUGAUCUUUGUGGUGUUUCUGAGUGGGAUCCUAUCCUUGAAG